CGCGGCCUAUCAGCUUGUUGGUGGGGUAGUGGCUUACCAAGGCUUUGACGGGUAGCCGGCCUGAGAGGGUGACCGGCCACAUUGGGACUGAGAUACGGCCCAGACUCCUACGGGAGGCAGCAGUGGGGAAUAUUGCACAAUGGGCGGAAGCCUGAUGCAGCAACGCCGCGUGCGGGAUGACGGCCUUCGGGUUGUAAACCGCUUUCGCCUGUGACGAAGCGUGAGUGACGGUAAUGGGUAAAGAAGCACCGGCUAACUACGUGCCAGCAGCCGCGGUGAUACGUAGGGUGCGAGCGUUGUCCGGAUUUAUUGGGCGUAAAGGGCUCGUAGGUGGUUGAUCGCGUCGGAAGUGUAAUCUUGGGGCUUAACCCUGAGCGUGCUUUCGAUACGGGUUGACUUGAGGAAGGUAGGGGAGAAUGGAAUUCCUGGUGGAGCGGUGGAAUGCGCAGAUAUCAGGAGGAACACCAGUGGCGAAGGCGGUUCUCUGGGCCUUUCCUGACGCUGAGGAGCGAAAGCGUGGGGAGCGAACAGGCUUAGAUGCCCUGGUAGUCCACGCUGUAAACGGUGGGUACUAGGUGUGGGGUCCAUUCCACGGGUUCCGUGCCGUAGCUAACGCUUUAAGUACCCCGCCUGGGGAGUACGG
rnacentral:rRNA from 1 species